AAGUGCCACCAUAUGGCAGCUCUGCUGAUUUGGACAGAAAAAAAUGUGUCCCGCACCGAUGUCGAGUGUGUGUGGAAGAGGGCGAAGAUGCCGAAGACGGAAAUCACAGCUAAGUGAGUGUCUGUGAUGGCACCAUCCACAACACAAGCUGGAAUAAAAAGAUCUGUCACCCAGGAGGACAAGGACUGGACAAGGACAAGGACUGGAGGACAAGGCAUGUGACUGGGGAAUCCACCAUGAGGCAAGGGCAAAGCAACAAUACACGGAGCGCACAGGUGUUGUCAUCCAGGAGAGGGGAUUGUUCUUGUCUCACAGCGGCCUACUCGGUGGUUCUCCAGAUGGGACAGUA